rnacentral:lncRNA from 1 species
UUUUAGGAAGUACCAUGGAUGCUGACCUCAUUUCCUGCGGCAUUUUUUCCUGCGGCAGCUCCUUGGCUCUACUCAAUGAGGGACCCAGUGCAUGAUGCAGCAUCCUGGGAGAAGGUCCCGAAGUAUGAAACCAUCAGAGAUUUGUGACAUUCCUGGUUUUGGAGUGAAGUGGUAGAAGAGCAUAUGGAAAACACCAACCAGGCACCAGUCUGUUGGAAGGAUAUCCCAAAUGGCUUUGGGUACCUGGUUUGUGAGCAACCACUGUGCUGAUGCAGAGUCACAGUAUGGUUGGGUUGGAAGGGACCUCAAGGAUCAUGAAGUUCCAACCCCCCACCACAGGCAGGGCCACCAACCUCCACAUUUCAUACCAGCCCAGGCUGCCCAGGGCCCCAUCCAACCUGGCCUUGAACACCUCCAGGGAUGGACGGGGCAUCCACAGCCUCUCUGGGCAGCUGUGCCAGCACAAGUCCUUCAGAACAACCAUCACCUCCCUGGUGGCUGGAGCCCAACCAGACCACAAGGAUUCACUGAGACUUACGGUACCUCCGAGAGACAAAGGUCAGGAAAUGGGCUCCUUGCCACUCUACGGCCAUGAUCCAGGUUUUCUGAGACUGAGUACAUUCAUCUGAGCUGUUAGCUGCUACGCUCCACCGCAUCCCUGUAUGAUCUGCCUAGGCUUGGUCCCCCAGAGGAAAUUUCUGCAUGCAUACUGUAUAUGAACUUUAGAUAAAUAAAUAAACACGAGAAACAGCUUCCA